rnacentral:lncRNA from 1 species
CUGGUUAGAUAUCGAAUACGAGGGUGCCCCAUCAUACUGCAAAUAUUGUUGUAUGCAAGGACCUGAUCUACUCUCCUGCAGAAAUAAGAAAAGAGAUGAAGAAGUUCAAGCUCAAGCCUCAGCCAACACUGAGGAGAUUGAUGAUCAAUGGAGAGUUCAAAAAGGAAACAAGAAAUUACAUCAACACACAAUUGGAAAUACUAACUUGAAUAUGCUACCACAACAACCUCAUCAGGAAGUCAUUCUCAUAGGGAAAAAUUCACAAUCAGAGAGGGCAAAUCAACCAACUAUACAACUAACAAAUGAUGGAACACAAGACAAACAGAAAUAAGUUUUGGACAAGAACAAUCCAGUUGAACAUAUAGCCCAAUUGCACCAGGCAUCGAAGCACAAGGAUGGACCAAAGAAAAAAGUGCAAUGGCAAGUUAAUCAGAGCAAACAACAGACCAAUACUCAUAAGCUUCAUAGUACAAAACAACCAACUCCACUAACAAUUGAGUCAAGCCAAGUUAAUCUAAAUGCAAAGGCUAAUAAACCUCAAAACAUAACACCUCAGACCAGUCCUAAUGUACAAUCUCCCAUUAAGAAAGGUUUUUAGAUGCUCCUUGAUAGUACUACCAAGCCAAAACACCAAAGUAGUUCUGAUAUCGCCUCUACUUUUGUUGUUCCACAUCAGCAAAAUAUAUCCAUCUCAGUUCCAAAAAUUCGAAAGACAUUACAAAUUAGCCUUCCACUACCAAGAAACCAGACAGAAAAUGCACACACAAAUCCCACUUCUCAAGAGCCUCCAGACCCUCAUCCUCCUGACAAUCCAGCCUCCGAAUCCUAUCCACCAGCUAACAAUCCUAUUAACCAUCCCUUAGAGAGUAGUGAUGAAUUAGAGCUGGAUAUUGUAAAUGAUGAAGAUUCCGAAUUUGAAGGGGGAAGAUUCAGAAAUUGCUGAAAAUGAUCAAGUUGUUAGUGAUUCUGAGAAUAACUUUGAAAGUAUUGAAGAUCAGUCUGAAAGUGAGGAAACUCUUGAUGCUCAAUCAGCUACCAGCGAUGAUCAUACUAACAGAUUGCUAGAAGCUUUCUCACAUCAAUCACCACCACCAGAUGAAAUCGUUCAAGCCUUUGGAGAUGCAACUGUCAGACACCACCUCUCACCUAGGGGGCAUGAGGUAACCAAAGGUGGACUCUCAUUAACCAGAGGUGGACACACAUUUAGGGAGGGCAGAGGUAAUAGAAGAGGCAAAGGCAUUCCUCAUGUAAAAUUUUCACAGGACAAAUGAUGAUCAAUCUACAUAUUUUUAAUAAUUAAGUCACUUAUUUGAAAUAUUAGAGGCAUCACUUCACAAGGUACCUUUGACAGACUUAAGCAACUCAAAAGAACUCACAACUUUUUAUUCAUUACUAUCAUGGAACCUUUCAGCGGAAGUCAAAAGUUAGAAAAAUUUAGGAGAGGACUUGGGUUUGAUUUUGCAUAUGCCAAUUGCAAUAAUAAAAUCUGAUUCUUUGGUGAUAGCUCUAUCAACUGUAUUGUUAUGGAAGACCUUCCUCAACUUAUCAAUUGCUCAAUUGAUAAUAAUGGAGAGACUUUAUACAUGACUUUAGUGUAUGCUAAAUGCGAAGCUCAUCUCAGGGAGACUCUAUGGGAUAACAUCAAAUCUUUUUCUAAUGGAGUUAGAUCUCCAUGGAUGGUGAUUGGGGAAUUUAGCGCUAUUACUGAUCCUCAGGAGAAAAAAGGGGGAAAAUCCGCAAUAUGUCUAAUAACUCUCCCUUCAUCAGAUGCAUUGUGGAUAGUGGCCUUUUGGAUCUUGGUUACACUGGCAGUCCUUUUACGUGGUGUAAUGGCUGGGCACCUACUAAGAGGAUAUGUGCAAAGAUUGGAUAGAGCUCUUGUUAACUCGGAAUGGUUAGAGAAUUUUGCAGAUACCACUGUCACACACUUGGUCAGAACUGGAUCUGAUCAUGCUCAUUUGCUUGUCUCCACUUCCAAUCCACAAUUGGAGCCUAAAAAGUAUUUCAGAUUCUUAGAUCUUUGGACUGAACAAGAGGGUUUUAUGCAAGUGGUGGAACAAGCUUGGAAACUACAAGUAGAAUGAGGCACUCUGUGGAGAUUUCAUCUCAAGCUAAAAAAUGCCUGUAAGAGUCUUUUAUUUUGGUCCAAGAAUUCUAUUGGGAAUAUUUUUGAUAAGACCAAGAAAUUGUAGAAUAUGCUUGAGGUAUUAGAGGAAAUAUGUCUAAAUGACAAUUCUGAAAGUAAUAGGAUGGAAUAUAAUAAUGUGAAUGCACAUUUGAUUAGACACAUAAAAAAUGAAGAGUCAUUUUGGAGAUAAAAAGCUGGCUUGAAGUGGUUUACGGAUGGCGACAAUAACAUUAGGUUCUUUCACUCUGUAAUUAAUUCCAGAAGGAAAAAAUUACAACUUACAAGAAUCAAGAAGCAAGAUGGUACCUGGAUUAAGAACAAAGAUGAUAUAGCUACUGAAGCUAUUAACUUUUUUGAGUAGCAGUUCACACAAGAAAAUACUUGCAGCAAUUUUUCAAAGCUCAAGGGGCUUAACAAAGUAAUAAAUGAAGAAGAUAACUUGGUUUUAGAGGAACUCCCUACUAUGGAUGAAUUGAAACAGGUAGUAUUUUCCAUGGAGAGUAGUAGCUCGCCUGGCCCUGAUGGCAUUUCUGGAAAAUUCUUUCAACACUGCUGGAAUAUAAUUUUUGUUGAUCUCUAUCAGGUGGUUUUGGAAUUCUUUUUUGGGCAACCACUUCCCAGAUCAUUCACCCAUACAUGCCUUGUCCUUAUCCCUAAAAUCGAUAACCCGCAACAAUUCACUGAUUUCAGGCCUAUUAGUCUAAGCAACUUCACUUUCAAAAUUAUCUCAAAGUUGCUUAAUAGUAGGCUAGCCCCUCUUAUGAACAUGAUUAUUUCUCCAAACCAAACUGGUUUCCUUAAAGGUAGGUCAAUCUCAGAUAAUGUCAUUCUUACUCAAGAACUUAUUCAUAACUUGAAUAGGCCCAAUGUCAAUGGUAAUAUAGUUUUUAAGCUAGACAUGGCAAAGGCCUUUGACAGAGUUCCUUGGGACUACCUCUGUCAAACCAUGAGGCUAUUAGGCUUUUCUGAAUGUUGGAUUGAUAUGGUUGCAAGAUUGAUCUCAAAUAAUUGGUACUCCAUCAAUGUCAAUGGAGUGAGACAUGGGUUUUUCAAAUAUUCUAGGGGCCUUAAGCAAGGAGACACACUAUCCCCCUCACUUUUUGUCAUUGGAGCAGAAUUGCUAUCUUACAUGAUGGACCAGCUGGUACAUGAUAAUUUUAUUAAUUUUUCUAUGGAUCGAGGCGGUCCUUUAAUCACUCACCUCACAUAUGUUGAUGACACCAUUCUCUUCUCCUUUGGUGACUUGUUAUCUAUUUCUAUUAUGAUGAAAAAGUUGGAGAACUAUGAACAAGCCUCAGGACAAAUGGUGAAUAAAAGAAAAUCUAUAUUCCUGGUAUCUUCUAAAACUCCUUCAACUGUAAUUGAAGACAUCAAAAGCAUUACUGGUUUUUCCCAUUCGUAAUUUCCUUUUACUUAUUUGGGGUGCCCUAUUUACCUAGGGAGAAAGAAAAUUUGCUACUUUGGAAAUAUGGUGGCCAAAAUAGCAAAUAGAACUCAGGGUUGGAAAAGGGAAAAUUCUUUCUUUUGGGGGUAGAGCAGCCCUUAUCAGGUCUGUGUUGCAUUCUAUUCUUUUACAUAUCAUAUUUGUUGUGCAUCCACCAAAAACUACCCUUGAUCAUAUUGAAAAAUCUCUUGCUAGUUUUUUUCGGGGUACAAUAGAGAGCAAUACAAAGUUAUCAUUGGUUUUCCUGGAAGAAUUUAUGGAGGGAAGGGUAGGUUUUAUAUCAUUGCAUGACAUUUGCAUUUAUUUUGCUGCUAAAGCCUGGUAGAAUUUCAGACUCAAAAGUCUCUUCUCACCUCUUCCUGGAAGCUAAAUGCUGCAAAAGAUAUCACCCGGUUGCUAGAAAAAAGAGUUAUACUCAGUCACACUCUUGGAGAAGGCUAAUGGAUAUCAAGAAAGACUAUGAAGGGCAUAUUUUAUGGAAUGUAGGAAAAGAUAACCUUUCCUUUUGGUGGGAUAACUGGACCAAUAAAGAAGCCCUUGCUAAUUUAGUUCAACAAGGAAACAAGUCCCAGAAGAUAAAAGUGGCUGAUUUUAUUGCGCACAACCAAUGGAAGAUGGAUAAACUCUGUGAUACUCUCCCUUCUAAUUUGGUUUAUCAUAUUCAAUCUAUCAAGAUUUCUCUUGAAGAGAAAGAUCUUCCUAUUUGGCUUGCAAACCCCACUGGAUCUUUUUCUAGUAAAUUAGCAUGGAAAACUUUUAGAAAAUCUAGAGGCUCUUCACUCACUACAACUAAGAUCUGGCAUCGUAAACUACCAUUUAAAGUAUCUUUUCAUGUUAUGAGAAUAUUAAAUGGUAAGCUUGCAACUGAUGACUCUUUGAUCAGGUUUGGUGUUCAUGGCCCCUCAAAAUAUUAUUGCUGCAUCAAUAACAAUAUGGAAACUACAAACCAUUUAUUUAGAGAUGGUGAUGUGGCUCUAAAAGUUUGGAAAUAUUUUCAAGAUGCUUGUGGAUUGUCUAUUAACUCUGUUGGUGGUAUUCAUGCCAAAUUCAUUAGAUGGUGGCUCAUCAAACCACAGAACAAAGUUCAUGACAUGAUAUUGCAAUAUCUUCCCUCUGUUAUCUGUUGGGAAAUAUGAAAAAUAGAUGUACCUACAAAUAUGAGGGUAUCAGAAGUUCAACCCAUAGAAUCAUUGAUCAAAUUACCUACUUGAUACAACUGUUGCUUUUUACUGAAUUUCCUUCUCUGCCUUUUAUGUCUUCUUUCCCGAGGAUAUGUCAAUUGGUAGACAUAAUCAAACCUCAACUACAUAUUCUUCCUAUGAGAUGGAAUAAACUGAGUGUUGAGGAAUUCAAAUUAAAUGUUGAUGGUUGUAGCAAAGGAA